AUUUCCGAUAGAUCGGCCCAUGUUUUUUAAAUUGUAUACUGAUUUUUGAUAAAUGGUCUUUAAAUGUAGUGAACCUGUAUAUAAGAGAAGUGACAUCUGAAACACAAAAUUCCAAUCGAGCAAAAGAACUGUCAAAAUCGAUUCCAAUCGAUCCAACACGCAGAAAAAGAAUGGGGAGUCGAAUCAACAAAACGUUUUUUUAUUUAAUUUUGUUUUAUCUAUUCGCAUUUAAUGGGUACUUUUGAUAUGAAAUUCGAUUCGAAACAGAAUCCCACAUUUUGUCAAUUUUACAAAAUAGUCGAAAGCAAGCCAUCGUGUAUGGAAGAGGGGUGCAUCGUUUUAACAAAAAUCAAUUUUGUUAUUUUUGAAAUGGAUAGUUGGGCUGUUAUGAAUCGAAAAAUAUGUUUUAUUGGCCAAGCGUGUAUAGAUGAAACGUCAACUGAAAAAAAAAGAAAAAAAACUCGUCAAAAUUAAGCUUAAGCAAUUGUGCCUCCUGAUGUAUCCGAACAGAAAAACGACAUUUGGUCAAUUUCUCGCUCGUUCGGAGAUAGUAAACCCGGAUUCCGGAAUGCUACAGAGUUGCUUUUAUUAUAGGCCGAAACUUAAGUUGGUUUGUCGGACCAGGACUACCAACAAAUUGAGGGACACAGCUCAUUCCUUCAAUCACGACAGCUAUCGGAUGCCGAAUUAGUGAAUCGGGCUUUGAAGCGAUGCCUUUAUCAGUGGUAGCCCUUCCAGCGGGACGAUAAUUUUAACCUGUUCCCGAGGACAUCAGUUACAAUCAAGAUGUCGCGACCCAACAGUAAUCGGCCCACAGAGAACCAGAGUUCGGGCUGGAGUCCCAACCGUGUGUAAAAAUACCAACCGUGAUUUUAAAAUAAACGACGCCAUUUUUUGCAACUUAGCUAAGAGCCACCAGAUGUCGUUACCGGUACUUUUAUUUUUCCAUUUUUUCUACACGCUCAGACGAUAGUACCUUCAACGAAUGAAAAAUGCACUCAAAGCCAAAUUUAUUUUCAGUCACUCAAUCAGGAAUUAAAAUAAUUGUAUGGUUUUUCAGUUUUUGGCCUGUGUUUGUUUUUGUGGAUAUGAAAUUCACUACAUCAAGACUUAAUUGAAUUUUUUUUAUAAUUUAGAAUCAAUUUCGAUGAUGAAUACAAAUUUAAAAAUU